AGACUGGGCCUAAUGCUGGCUUUCGAAGGCUCCACGCCCACCUCCUCCAACAAGGACGCACUCCUAAUUCUUCUGAGCAGUUACGACUGGGGACUGAGCUUUCGAGCAUACGAGCCUGUUAGGGCAUCCUUAGUCAAGCCAGCACACCAUGGGAAGCACUGAGCACAGCAAAGUUGUUGUAGCUGUUUUAGUAUCAGAGGAACAAAGAAGAUAAAUGUGCUGUAGCCCAGCAUUUGGGAGGUAGAGGCAAGGUCAUUGCUGUAAGUUAGUAACCAACAAGCAGGCAAAGUAAGCACCAAGCCAGCCUGGGCUAAAGAAUGAGACCCUAUCUCAAAACAAAGAAGAUACAUAACCAGAGACAAUUUGU
rnacentral:lncRNA from 1 species